rnacentral:misc_RNA from 1 species
GAUCCAAUAGAGGGUCCGUACAAAGUACCUGCUAAAGGUCUAGUGUACAAGGCAUCGUAUCAGUGCAGUGAGGAUAGCGGGGCACUGGACGACUGUCCACACAGUGGAUGGAAGGAGGUUGUAGAUGGAGAAUGUACAGAACACAGAAAUGACGCUGGGGUGUUCUGCUAUCAGAAUGUUCGGAUAUAUAAUGGCAUCGGAAGAAGCCAAAGCUCCGGGCCUGUGUUGAUAUUCCGGGACAAAGGUUGGUACUUGCUGUGUGAUGAUGGUUUCACGGACCACGCGGCGACCUUGGUAUGUCAGGAGCUGGGAUUUCCCUAUGGACACGCUUCCUGUUGCUCCGCGGACGGACCACUGAGCGUACCAAUUUGGAUGAAUCACACUUUAGACUGUUCUUCUGGAAAUCACGUGGAAGAAUGUUUUCAUGAAAAGAUAUGUGCCAGAAGAAGCUAUGCCACGGUUUCAUGCAGUUACCAGCCCAUAACAACAGUUGACACGUCCCCUCGGCCUGACUCUCCCUCGCCAGUUAAACAGGAGGACAACAAAGCAGUAGUGGCGGUAGUGUCCGCCAUUGCCGCGUGUCUGUUAAUCAUUGUCAUCGUCAUAAUUGUGAUGAAAUGUAGGAAAUCUUACAGCAAAAAAUCACAGGAGAAAACACACGGAGAAUUUAGGGAAGGUGUUCUCAACAAAUCACUCGAUGGUUCUAUACAUGUUCAUAACCCUAUGCACAAUAUAUGUGACUCUGAUGACGUAAUCAUUCAACAUGACAGUGUUCAAUAUCACCCCACCGGUUCGGAUAAUGAUCAGGGAUUAGCAUAUACUAACCACAACUAUGCUGGCUUUAAUUCAAUUUUAUAUUCAUCAGAUUGCAAUGAAAAGGUUGACGAUGAAACAAAUGAGGAUCACAUGAUUGAACAUGACGAUAUGAAGCCCCUAGGGGUGAAGGCAGAUUUUAAAGAUUCAUCUUAUGCUGCAAUGGAGCCGAAUUUUUCUGCCUCCGGGUUACAAGAGUAUGAUAAUCAACAAAACACUAAACAAUCUGUUCGUGUCACAAUAGAGAAUAUCCCUAAAAGUUACCCAAAGAAUCAUUUCACGCGCUCCUUGUCGGAAUGCAAAGAGAUUUCCUUACCCGAAGAUACGUAGUCUCGUAACUUAUUAAUGGUCAAGUUCUUUUAUCAAAAAAUUUAAAGAAAAAAUUAUAAGUUUUGUAUCAUAUAUAAUAUUUUUUAUAUCGAGAGAGAGAGAGAGAGAGAAAGAGAGAGAGAGAUUCCGUUUGUCUUCACCAAUAUUUUUUCAAAACGUGUUGUACUGGUUUUAAUUGAUGUACAUUUUGUAUGAUACAUGUAUUCCAUUUGGUAUAUAUUCUUUACAUUCUUACUUGUUUAUUUAUAUACUGAAUAUAAAAAUUCAGUCUUUGCAAAAUUAAAGUUG